CCUACGGGUGGCAGCAGUGAGGAAUAUUGGUCAAUGGACGAGAGUCUGAACCAGCCAAGUAGCGUGAAGGAUGACGGCCCUAUGGGUGGUAAACUUCUUUUAUAGGGGAAUAAAAUGUGACACGUGUGGGAUUUUGUAUGUACCAUAUGAAUAAGGAUCGGGUCACUCCGUGCCAGCAGCCGCGGUAAUACGGAGGAUCCGAGCCUUAUGCGGACUUAUUGGGGUUAAAGGGAGCGUAGGUGGGUUGUUAAGUCAGUUGUGAAAGUUUGCGGCUCAACCGUAAAAUUGCAGUUGAUACUGGCAGUCUUGAGUACAGUAGAGGUGGGCGGAAUUCGUUGUGUAGCGGUGAAAUGCUUAGAUAUCACGAAGAACUCCGAUUGCGAAGGCAGCUCACUGGACUGCAACUGACACUGAUGCUCGAAAGUGUGGGUAUCAAACAGGAUUAGAUACCCGAGUAGUC
rnacentral:rRNA from 1 species